AACGAGACAACCGGUCGAGCCUUCUUAUCUUCCAUAGCUGGACCCCCCAUCCGCUCCCAAGUUUUGUUUCUCUUUUUGUAUGUAUCUCUUUCACCAUAUCUUUCCAAUCCCCACCACCAUGCCUAUCAUCAGAUCUCUUCCAACAUAUAGAUUUCAUCGCCUUACACCACUCUAAACAUGGCCGCCGCCGAAUCCAUGCCCCUUCUUAGCCGCAUCCAUCGGCCUCCCCACAUUCGAUGACACUAAUUUGCUUAUGUCGUCACAGAUCUCACGAGGCAUGCAUGGAUCUGGGUUCUAGGUUUCUUCGAUACGGGUGUCAAUUGCUAGCCCUAUCCUAUAUCUACGACACCCUUUUACCGAUACAAUGAAGUAGUCAAAGAUCUUAUUUCAACACGCCAUCGCCGCACCACCUCGUUGAUGCCACCGGGGAAACAAAAGCUAAGUAAAAAGAAAAAAAACAAAGGGGUCCCCACUCCUUUUGUCACCGAACUAAGAGAUGGUGGCGUGGAGGAGACCUUUGACAACGGCAUCGGCUAAGGGUUGGGAACGAGCAAUGAGACAAAGAAUAAGUUGAAGUUGUGUUGAGUUGGGUAAGUUAAAACUUCUCUCGUCCAUGUUGAAUAAGGCAUUUUUCUGUAUUAUUCCUUAUUAGAAAGAAAAGGCGAGUUUACUCGAAUAGGGCAUUUUGAAGACUGUGCUCCAUGGAGGCCUUAAUUUUUUUAUAAAAUCAAAAAAAUUAGUUUCAAAAACUUGUAAAAUAAAUGCACAUGCAUACAAAGAUUCAGGAUCAAAAACCUUGAAUUGCGAGCUGCAUGAAAAAAAUAGGAUUUGAGGAUGAACAGUACAUAUAUGCUAAAAAGUCACGGGUUUGUUUUCUUUUUGUGUAGCUCUCAUUUUAACGUAUUUAGACCUGAAAAUGUACACACAUGUACAUUAUGUCUCAAUGUACAUGUGGGGUUUUUUUCAGAAUUUUUGGAAAAUGAAAAGUUUGAAUUUAAAGUUUUCAAAUUAAGGCCUCCAUGAAGCUCAGCCUCCAGUUGGCAUUUUCAAGUUUACUCCCCUGAACAAAACCCAUGGUUCACCUAACGGUUUAUAAAAAUAACUUCUUUUCUUUUCUUAUUCAUGCACGUGGAGUUCUUGAGUUUUCUCAAUCAUAUUUUUUUUGUAGGCCCCAAGUGGAGUUGCAGGGCAUUUCGUAAUGGUAUUUUGUAAACGUAGAAAGAGUCACUUUGGCUAGGCAUAGUCACACUACGUGGCAAACAUGGGGAAAAAAUCAAACUUGAUGGGGGAAAACUAGGCAUAGUCACAAGUCACAACGGAUAGCGAUUUCCCAAGUCAAUAGCACACACUAAAUGCCCCACUUCUCCACUUUCCUCUUCUGCCGCACGUUCGCACGAGCAAGCGCAAGAGGCAUGGAGAUGAGUAAGCAUUUUAACAUGGCAGACAAGAUAUCAAGGAUAACAACAGCCACUCUAACGAAGAGUGAAAGAGGCACUUCUAUCUGGUAAACGGAAGAACAGAGAGAAUGCAAGAGGACACACCGAAAGGAACCUGGCUUUCUAGUCCCAUAUGACCUGCUGCUAACAGCACUAGUUCUAUAACUCUCCCCCUAAAUAAACCACCUAAAGAAUGGAAAACGGCCACCGGAGACCCAUCCUUUAGUAUGUACAAUGUCAACUUCGCACAGACGGUAUAACUAGUCUAGCUUUCUGAUGAUUAAGAGUAUGUCCAGUAACCAACGCCGACUUCAGUUCCACAGGAUCGCCAUCACCGCAUACCAACAGCUAGACUGAAAAAAAUUCCAUUGAUAUUCCCCAGCACCCUUCAUGGGAUAUACAUUCCACCUAAACAGAAAGACUGA